CGGUUGUUCAAUGUCUGGUUAUCAGUACUUGCCGGUUAAACAUCAUUAUCGACGUUUCCGACAUCAUGCACAUAACAUGUGGUUGAUAAAGCAGUAUUUGUAUUUAACCAGAGCUUCUACCUCCGAUUUGUGCUAAUCAGACUUUGUACAACCGGGCCUAAGGGCCGGUUACUCA